CCCUGCUGACCUACUUCCUUAUGAAAUAAUGCAGCAAUUAGCUGGUCAUGCCGAUCACGCUGGAACUAACAAAGAGUGCCGUCUGUUGCUGUACAUAAAAUACUCUUGGUAUCAGUCCUUCAUGGCAUUGUGGACUCAAGGUGCUGGUUCUGAGGGCAGCGGGGCGACAGCCAGCAAUGCAAACGGCCAUGAAGCGGCAGAGCAAGAAUAAACCAGAACCUGGAAGGACAAGCUGGGACCUGGGUCUGUUUCUCGCUGUCUUCAAGGCCUCACACGGAUGAUAAACUGAACAUCUGAACAUGGAACAAUGGAUGACCGUAUGACCUGAGCUGUAUAACCUAUUUUCC